rnacentral:rRNA from 1 species
AACUUUCAACAACGGAUCUCUUGGUUCCGGCAUCGAUGAAGAACGCAGCGAAAUGCGAUAAGUAAUGUGAAUUGCAGAAUUCCGUGAAUCAUCGAAUCUUUGAACGCACAUUGCGCCCUCUGGUAUUCCGGGGGGCAUGCCUGUUCGAGCGUCAUUUCA